ensembl:lincRNA
GCUUCCCAGGGCCCUGUCCAUCAUGUCCUGGCAAGGCAAAGGUGUCAUGAGAGCCACCCUUCCCAAAGUAGCACUUGUGAGCAGAGGUGAUCAGAGGGCUUUCUGAAGAGUGAGGAGUGACUUCAGAGGGCCAAAAAGAAGAAAAGGGAGUGAGCCAGUCGUUAAGACUCCUAAUCCCGGCUUAUUUUUACUGCUUCUCAACACAGCAUUGCAAGUGGUUGAUUUGGUAAGUAUGAAUGCAGUAGACAAAAAUCUCUGUUCUUAAAGCAUUCUUGCUAAUGUC